UCUCUGGAAUGCCAACAAUGUGCUGAGGACAGUGGGAAGUGCCAUUGGCUGCCAGCCCCCUCCCCAUCCUGGGCUCAGAGCCUCUGAGCCCUCCUGGCAGUUUGGGGCCUCCUAGGUCCCCGGGUCUGUGGCUUCCUGCUCCUUGUGUAUCACUCUUGUCCUGGAGAACUUAGCUAUCCUCCCUGCUUCCAUCGUCCCUCAGGAGGAGGUCUGACCUGCCCACUGCUAGAGUUUCUCUCAUAAUGACUCUUGCAGGUCUUUGGAUGCGGCAGGAACCAUCAGUGACAAAGUCCAGCUGAACCCGCUCCAGAUGGCAACACUUUGACCAAUAGGGAGACUGGAGACCCGCCACCUGCCCGAGGCUCACCGCAGUCUCAUAUUGAUGUGCCACCUUGCUCCAGCCCAACUGCCUUCGCUGUCUCCGCAGCCAGCCCCUGAACUGGCCAAGGCAGCUGGGCCUUUACUGUCAUCAUGUACUCGGAUGCUCUGAAUCUGCAUUAAAAUAUUUCACAUUUAGAUUUGUCUCACAUUCAUACGAGCUUAUGUUUAUCCGGUCUUACGGCAGGAAAAGAACCUCAACGUGUUACAGUCAAACACUCUCAUUUUAUGACUCUGGCAGCUGCAGCCCAGAGAGCUCAGGUGACUUGCCUGUGACCCCGCAGCCAAGUGGUCAAUGUAGAACGUCACUGUCCCCUAGACCAGUGCCUCUUCAGUCUCACCACGAGGGCAGGCACAGCCAGCUUCAACUUCUGGGAAACUCUACUUGCCCUAUUUGCCUGGAGAAGCUCUGAGCUGACACGUCAGUGAGGGAGCCAAUCGCCGAGCGUGAGAGAAGACCCCAGGAUGGCGGGAACCACAGGACUUUGUGGGGUGAGGAAGACAAAGUGGGGACACAGAGGGCCAUUCUCAUUCGGCUUGGCGUCUACAAUCGAGAUGGUGAGGCCUCCUUCAAAUUUACAUAUACUAAGUACCAUAAUCACUAUAUGCUUGUCUCUAUCUAUAUAAUUUUUCUAUUAUAAAAGGAAUACAUGCGUAUUGUAGAUAACUUAAAAAAUUACAGAAAACAGAAGAGAAAAGGAAACCACUUAUACUUUUGACUCAAAGAGACAAACAUUGUUAUCCUUAUACAAUCUUAUAUUUUUCCAUAUAGUGUUUUACCCCGCUGAGUUCAUACCAAGCCUAUUCUUUUAUUUCUUACGGGUUUUGCUUCACAAGUGCAUUUUCCCUGUUACCCCCAAUUCUUUAUCAACAGCUCCCCUUUUGGACAGAGAGCAGUUCACUAUUGUCUGCUAAACCACUCAGCAACUAUCAGACAUUUGGGUUUUUUCCAAAUUUUUCAUAUGACAGUGUGGAAAUAAAAAACGUCUUUGUAUCCA
rnacentral:lncRNA from 1 species